CGCCGCUGCUUGUGCUGGCAGGCCGGGCGCACCUUGUCCUCCCCGGGCCUCUUCAUUCGCAGGAACCACGCGCACCAGUUCAGAAGGAUGACUCUGGUCUGGGGAGACAACAGAACGUUAAGAGCAGCCCUGAGGCGGACACGGGCUGAUCCCAACAGCAGUAAGAUCCUACAAUACAAGCCCUGCUUCAUUGGUCCUGGGGGUAGCAGCCUCCACUGCCUCCCGGAUGAUUUUAGCAGGCAAGCAGUGCUUGCGUAUGACAAGCAGUCGAGUUCAACGUGAGGCAAGACUAAAACUGAUGCACCCUGGGAACAAGCUAAAUUGUUCUCCGGGGCAGGCACACUGCAAUCUCAGGGAAGACAGCUUCGUGGAAGGGGAAGGCUAUCUGAGCUGUGUAAAGAGGGAAAGUCAAUUUCCCUCUCUGAUCCUUCCUCAUCUGUAACCCGGGGACCUUCAGAUCUAACUCUGGCUCCCACACUACCUGUUAGGUGCCCUGGAAGGCCACUGCAAAUUCGCAAAGAGUGUCUGGGGGAGGUUGUACAUUUUCAAAUGCAAUCCCAGGAUAUCCAUGAGACACCAGGUAAACUUGAAGCUUGAAGCAGUUCAGGCUUCCAACAUCAGAUUACCACAUCUCUUGUGAUGACGUGACCACUUUGCAAAGCUGUUUUUCAAAGUACCCUGAUAAAAAGCAAACACCAAGGAACUUCAUGUGAAACAGAAACUAGGUUAGUGGUCUCCAAUCUGAUCCCAAGAUUUGAGAGGCGGUGCCGUGCCCCAUAGGUGCUACAUUGUUAAGGCACAAAUACUUAUUAAAGUGUUUUGAUCUAUUUAAAAAGAGAGCCUUGGGUAUUAUUUCUUUUGGCCAGGGGCUCUGUGAAAAAUUUCCUGAGAUACUAACGUGCUGUGAACCAAGGCAGUUUCGGAACCUCUAACCUAACUCAGUAGGCUUCAAUGAAGACCGAAUAAGAUGAUGUCUGGGAGAGUACUUUGAAAAGUUGAAGGCAGAAGUUGGCAAACUUUCUGUAAAGGGCCAGGCAACUACUCACUUCUGCUGAUGUAGCACACAUUGAAGGCGUCAAAUGGAUGGGCAUGUUUUCUAAAAUAACUUAUUUACAAAAACACUUGGUGGACUGGAUUUGGCCACCUAGGCCAUAAUUUGCUAACUUCUGGUCUAAAGUGUGUCCUAGAGUGCAUGAAAGAAGCUGGAGAAAAAUCACCAUGGAGUUUAUCCUGGUUUUGCCUCUCAUGGAAAGAAGAGAGACAACUGAAGCCUCAAUCCAGAAACAGGUAAAUGUAUUACCUGCUUCAAACUGAUGGAUGGACAGACAGAAAGAGCAGCAAACCAACAAGCCUCCAGCUCUCAGGCCUCUCACCUCUGGCCUUGCAUUUUCUUAAGUGUGGGUCAGCGUUAUAAGGAAAUCAGACAAAAAUACAGGAGAUGGAGUUUUGCUCUGUCACCCAGGCUGGAGGGCAAUGACACCACCAUAGCUCACUGGAGCCUGGAGCUCCUGGGCUCACAUGAUCCUCCCACCUCAGCCUCCCAGGUAGCUGGGACUACAGCCACACACCACUGUGGUGGGCUCACAGGUGGUGUCAGGACUGAAGUGAACUCACUGUAGGACGCCCAGCUGGUUUCCAAGAAUUGGUCGAUGUGGGAGAAACGCCCCGCUUUGGUGUCAGAAGUGUUGUGUAAGUAGAGAAAUGGUGACUGAUUUUCUCAGGGGCCUUCAACAGGUCCUGAGGGUGCAGCCCUCAUGAAUGGGAUUAGAGUCCUUCAUAAAAAGAGGCUAAAGAGCUAAUUCACUCUCUUUUUGCCACGUGAGGCCACAGCGAGAAGAGGGCCAGCUGUAAACCAGGGAGUGGCCCCUCACCAGAGCCCUGCUGCCACCCUUAUCGAGGACGUGCAGCCUUGCAGAACUCUGAGAAAUAAAUGUCUGUUGCUUAGGCCCCCAGUCUACAGCAAUUUGUUACGGUAGCCUCCAUUAAAAUAGGAACUUCUUCCUUGCAGGAUUUGUGCAAUGAUGAGCAAUUACACAGGCCAAGAUGUCUAGGAGAAAGGAGGGGGCAUUCUUUAGUGGGCAGCUCUAAUUAUUAAACCUUUGGUGUGGCUGUCCACUCAAGGGGCUGAACUCUAAGCGGAAAGCAUCAGAGUGCAGGGCGCUAAGCAUUCAGCUAGCCCUCACAGGCCCUCACGCCAGGAAGGAACUCACUGCCUUCCUACAAAGACCAAGAGGUACCUGGGAGGAGCUCUGCCAGAGCUGGAAGUUUGAGACCUAAAGUUAGCAUCAGGGCCCCUGAGAAAAGGAAGGAGACUGGAGCAAACCGUGACCCUUAUGAGCUGAAUUAUGCUUCCCCCUAGAAUUCAUAUGUUGAAGCCCCAACCCCUAGUACCCUAGAAUGUGACUGUACUUGGAGAUAGGGUCUUUAAGGAGGUAAUUAAGUACAAUUAGGUCAUCAGGGUAAGCCCUAAUCCAAUCUGACUGGUGUUCUUUUAAUGAAGAAGAGAAAAUUUGGACACACAGAGAGACACCAGGGAUGCAGGUGCACAGAGGAACUACCAGGGGAGGACAAAGCAUUGUGAAAGUGGUUGUCUGCAAGCCAGGGGGAGAGGUCUCAGGUUAAACCAUCCCUAAUGGCCCCUUGGUCUUGGACUUUCAGCAGUGCAACUGUGAGAAAAUAAAUUUCUGUUAGUUAUUUAAGCCCCUAAGUCCAUAGUAUUUUGUCACGGCAGCCUGAGCAGACCAACCACCUCUGGAGAGAUGGGGGUCAAAGGAUUGCCCAGACUGAAUUUCCAUCAACAGAGGGCAGCAAAGCUGAUGUCCCUGGGGCCAUCAACAUCCCAUCCUUCGAGAUGUGGGCUAUGCACCAACCAAGCCUUUCCCAGCGGGUCAUCAGUCCAGAGAGAGAAGGCCUGACAACUGCCCCCGGAAGGGAGGCUGCAAAUCUCUACUGAAAGCAGUGUGCUGGAAGGUAGAAAGAAUGGAGUCAGAAUCAGGUGGAAAGGUGGUUCUUCCCUGUCUGGAUGGUACCAAGAGAAAAAUGAUACCCACAAAGGCUUUUCAUACCAACAGUUUCUCUGGCCAAAAUACUGCACAUACAGGGAGUUCCACAAAGAAGGGCCUUUGCUGCUUGGUUCCUAAAGCCUGGGGGUAUCCAGGUAGGGCUCUCCCUCUAGCCCACCCCCAGGUAGACACAGCAUAGGUCCUCAAACAGCAGGGGCCAGCAGGUGUAAUGACAGUCUGUAUACCUCCUUCCAACCUUCCCUGCCCAGUGGGAGUGGAGACUUGUUUUUGUUGUCCCUCCCUGGGUAGAGGAUCAUGCCUUAUACCUGUGCAAAAUAUAUUUUUCUCAUUCAUAUUUCCCUAGAAACUUUUAUACAGAGACAUUGAGUUAUCUCAGGACACAGUAACUGUGUGCUUCUCCCAUUUUAACAAAGGCUUUGUGGGAAAACAACAUCUUAAGCUAAAAUGAUGCAUCUCUAACGAUGAAAUAUCUGGCUUCAAAGCAAGCAUGAGGAGGAGAAUUAUGAGGGGAAGGGGGGCAUUUCUGUGAGAUAAAAGUCAAACCUCAAAGCUGAAUAUCCCCUUCCCCUUACUUGGGCCCGGGUGACUCUGAAUAGUUACAGCAAAUCAUCACCUUCCAGAGAAAAUGGGGGCAGUGCAGCCGUAUUUCUUCUAGUUUCAUCUGCUGGGAAAUCCUGGGCACACUCUAACCCUAACCCCAUAUCUCUAAGAGAGGAGCCCAACUCUUGCCUUACCUAUCAAUGGUACCGAAUCGGAUGUUGCGGGCAUGAUCUCAGCCACGAGCAGCAUGAAGACGGUAAGAGAGAGUAAGACUGUUAUCCCUAAAACAUAAACACACAGCGGUUCCUCAGACAAAAACAGACAAGAAGGCCUCAAUUCUGUCUAACGAGGGCUCCUAACCUGACACUCAAAAGAAAGGGAGGCGCUGGGGGGAAUGUCGUGGAAUGCACGUUUUCCCUAUGUAUGGGCGUGUGCAUUUUCCAGGGGACGUUCCAUGCCACUUACCAGAGUCCCAAAGGAGUCUCUUAUGGAGACAAGUUUAGGACCCAGAAUUUUAAAAGCAUCAACACAAACUGAAAAAUUUAACUUGGCACAAUUAUCUUUCAUAUUCUCUGUAAAAUAUUAUUGAGAAGUAGUUUCACGUAGCAGGAAAAAGAAAAUAUGCAGUCAGGAGACCUGAUUUCAGGUCUUACGUUUGCUACUCAGCUAGCUAUGUGACCUUAGAUACAACAUUCAACCUUUCUGAACCUCAUACUCAGAAGAUAUGGGUUUGGGAAUGAUUUCUACCAUAUCCUACAUCUGAUGUUUAGCAACUCUUUAAGACAUUGGGAAACUCAUUCCACCAUUCAAAAUCUUGGUUUCCUUAGCUUCGUAUGGGAGUGAUUGUAAGAAUUACACUGGGUACUGUAACAUACAAAUGCAAGCUGAUACUAAGCUAAAUUGUUCCCUCGAUGACCAGUCGCCAUUGAGGAACAGGUGGGGUGGCAGGAGGGAAGAAAGCACAGGCCUCUCAAGGCAGAAUGGAGCUGGCCCCCUCCCUGUGCAUCCCCCAUCCUCUGAGGGUCCUCCAGUAUUCUCAGGAUUACACAGCCGUCCAGCACGGAGCCCGAAUCAGGGACCUCUGGUGUCCUGGAGCCACCGUGGGCUCGGAGGUCCAUGGGAUGAGCCAGGGAAUCCCCAGGAACCCUGAUGGAGUCCUGCGCUGUCUGCUGUGAGCCCUCCAGAGCUGAUCUCAGCAGAAGGUCUCCAGUCUCAGACUCCCGCCAGACACUGGGGCGCUUACCCAGGGAAAUCUUCUCCCCGGAAUCUGCAGGAAGCAGGAACACCAGCAGGGCGAGGGCGGAGAUGAGCACACAGGGGAUCAGCAGGUUGAGGCCAUAGUAGAGCGUCCUGCGGCGCAUGGUCACUGUGAAGGUGACAUCAGGGUAGGGCUCUUUGCAGCACUCAUAGAACCUUUCACUCCUCUUGCCGGGGAUUCCUCCAUAGGGAGGAGGAGAGAAGGAGCCAUUGUUAGAAUACAAUAAAUUACCCUGUUUAUUUCAAUGUGUAUACCACACACAAGCACAGUCCUAAAGUUUGCAAAGUGCUAAAAAAAAAAAAGGGGGGGGUUGUAAUUAGCUUGAAUAAAACCUUGUUGAUUUACUAUAGAGUUAAGAGUAUUUUAGUGAUAGUUGGCCAAAUUGGUACAUAUUCUUUUGGUGGAUUGGAAACACAUGAUUAUAAUAAUUAUAAAUAAUACAUUACCAAUUUUACACUGUUAUAAAUGUAAUCACUGUUUUCCUAUUUUAAAAUAAUCAAAUAUAGGUUCCCAUCAACUGAAAUUUGCUGUUCAACUUGCUUUUAGAAAUGGAGUGGAUCUGCAUAACGUAGAGAGAUCUAUCCUCACACUGGUUUGUUUAAAUGCAUCCUCACUGCAGUUGCCAGUUCCUCUUGGAAAGCAUGGCAUAUCCUAACUGUUUUCUGUUUCUCCUCCUGUAGCUCUCAGUAAAUUAUGGAGACUACUGCAAAAUUCAAUAAAUGCUCGCACCGGAAAGGACAGUGGAAAAUCCCAAACUUUUAAAGCUUGCCCAGGAAUAGGAAAGCUUUCUUCCAGGCGAUCCAAGGACCAGCCUCCGUAAGACCAGGACCCAAACUUCAGUUUGCAGUGCUGCACAUCAAAGGGAAACCAGCGUACAUCGAUGUAGCAGGAACUCUUGAAUAUGCCUGUGUGGGUGAUGGAAACAGAAGACUGAAACGGAAGCUGACUGAGAUGUGCUGAAAAUACACAGCAGUUCCUUCAGCCGGUUCCGCCCUCCGCACUGCAGCUAACACAGUCCAGAGCAAACGGAAUCUGUCUUUUUAUUUAUUCGCAAAAUCUGUAAAACAGAAUCUCAGCUAAGCUUCACUGUCUUUUAAAAUCCAAACGUAACACUGACAUGCUCUCUCAAAGACUGUUUUGUGGGCUUUUUGUGCAAAAAGUUAGCUCUAUAAUCUGCAUUUACCAUGAGCAUCUUCAGACUCUAAAUAAUAAAAGUAAAGAAUGCAAAAUAUCUCAGAGAAGUUGAUAACCCUGAUGAUGAAGUUAGAAAUAGAAUCUAAAAGGUGUGUGUGUGUGUGUGUGUGUCUGUUUGGUGCGGGGUGAGGUAGGCAUUUUCUUUAGGUUAAAAAUGGGAAGAACACAUGAUUAUCGAGAAAUACAAUCUAGAAUUCUGGUUAAAGCUAGAAUUUUAACUAAUUUAAAUUCUAGAUGAAGAACAGAACAAGCUGGGCACAGUGUCUCAUGCCCGUAAUCCCAGUGACUCUAAGACAUUGACGUGGGAGGGUCACUUGAGACUAGGAGUUUGAGACCGGACUGGGCAACAUAGUGAGACAUCUCUAAUAAAAAAAAUUAGCUGGGUGAGGUGAUGCAUGCCUGUAGUCCCAGCUACUCAGAAGGCUAAGGCAGGAGCAUUGCUUGAGCCCAGGAGUUUGAGGCUAAAGUGAAGUGAGCUAUGAUCGAGCCCCUGCACUCCAGCCUGGGGAACACACCUAGAAUCUGUCUGUAAGAAAAAAAGUUAAAACAAACAAACAAACAAACAAACAAAAACAAGAACAGAUAGAUAGGUUUAAGCUGAAGAGAUGGUGCUUGAAGGAAGAGUUUCCGCUGAAAAGAGCUAUUCCAGGCUAGGACAGGUUGGAAGUGGAUUUCCCAGAGGGCCAAGGGGAGGAAACCAGAUAGAGGCCACUCCAGUUAUUUACACUCAUGUGCUCUUCCCUGCCCAGAGGAAGGCUGCAUGGCACAAGAAGACAGGCACAGACUCGGUGUCCAGGUGUUCCUGGGGCAGGGCUGGCACUCUGCAAACUUCUGUUACUGAGUUACAGAAAGAGUGCACGCAGGAAGGGCCUCCACAGCCUUGCACACAAGGACCCCACCCCACAACCGAGUUGGGAAAAGAUACACAUUUUGUCCCCUGAAGUUCCUUUAAGUAUGCUUUGCGUCCUUACAUGAAAUGUUUAUAGGAAUCUGGAAUCAUCACAGACAAUCCCCCUCCAUUAAUAGUUGGAUCCCCCCAAAACCCACCUUGUCUGCCAGUUAGUUGGAAAGCUUUGUAACUUCAUGAGCCCAUUUCUACGAAAUAAUGGCCCGAGACAGAGAAUUUCUAGAGACAGAAAGCAGAUCAGUGGUUGCUGGGAGUAGGAAUGGGAAUUAACUGCAAACAAGCAAAAGGGAUCUUUGUGGGGUGAUGGGAAUGUUCUAAAACUAGACUGUGGUAAUGGUUGCAUAAGUCUGUAAAUAUACUAAAAGUUGUUGAAUCAUGUACUUAAAAUGCAUGAUAUGUAAAUUCUCUCUCAAUAAAGCUGUUAAAAAAUAAACACAUGAAAUGG
rnacentral:lncRNA from 1 species